rnacentral:rRNA from 1 species
AGAGUUUGAUUAUGGGCUCAGGACGAACGCUGGCGGCGUGCCUAAUACAUGCAAGUCGAGCGGACAGAUGGGAGCUUGCUCCCUGAUGUUAGCGGCGGACGGGUGAGUAACACGUGGGUAACCUGCCUGUAAGACUGGGAUAACUCCGGGAAACCGGGGCUAAUACCGGAUGGUUGUUUGAACCGCAUGGUUCAAACAUAAAAGGUGGCUUCGGCUACCACUUACAGAUGGACCCGCGGCGCAUUAGCUAGUUGGUGAGGUAACGGCUCACCAAGGCAACGAUGCGUAGCCGACCUGAGAGGGUGAUCGGCCACACUGGGACUGAGACACGGCCCAGACUCCUACGGGAGGCAGCAGUAGGGAAUCUUCCGCAAUGGACGAAAGUCUGACGGAGCAACGCCGCGUGAGUGAUGAAGGUUUUCGGAUCGUAAAGCUCUGUUGUUAGGGAAGAACAAGUACCGUUCGAAUAGGGCGGUACCUUGACGGUACCUAACCAGAAAGCCACGGCUAACUACGUGCCAGCAGCCGCGGUAAUACGUAGGUGGCAAGCGUUGUCCGGAAUUAUUGGGCGUAAAGGGCUCGCAGGCGGUUUCUUAAGUCUGAUGUGAAAGCCCCCGGCUCAACCGGGGAGGGUCAUUGGAAACUGGGGAACUUGAGUGCAGAAGAGGAGAGUGGAAUUCCACGUGUAGCGGUGAAAUGCGUAGAGAUGUGGAGGAACACCAGUGGCGAAGGCGACUCUCUGGUCUGUAACUGACGCUGAGGAGCGAAAGCGUGGGGAGCGAACAGGAUUAGAUACCCUGGUAGUCCACGCCGUAAACGAUG